UGUCAACGUGGCCUUGAGCUCCUCAUCUGUGUCCAUGGACAAGAUGCUUCACCUGUGUCGUCCCAGUCCACCCAGCUGUAAAUGGGUAAUGGCCUUGGCUGGGGAGUAAUCUCAGAUGGACUG